AAGCAAACCAAAUCCUAGGAGAAUUUUUCUUGGCAGACUUUAUUUAAGAGAGACAGAAAUCACCCAUCUGCCUGGCUCACUCCUGAACUGCACUAGGCCACAGCCCACAGCUGGGACACUCAUGCAUAUCUAAAACAUGGGUGGCAGGGACCCAGGGCUGUGAGCCCUCCUGUGCUGUCUCCCCAGUGUAGGCGGGCAGGAAGGAGAAGAGCUGGGACUGGCACAAAGGCAUCCCCAUGUGGUCCGUGGGUGUCCGCCACAGCCUCUGAACUCCUUUUCCAAAUCCCCCACCCUCUGAAGGCUUUACCACUUAGGACGUCAACUUCUUCCAGAAACUUCGUCAGCCUCCUGCUUACUGGCGUAAAGAGACAGAAGCAUCUGGUUUAGUGGCCAGUGUGUGGGUGCCUUGUCCAGUGGUGGAGAUGCUGGACCUGCCCUGAAUUGCAACAUUGCACAUGCUUUCAACUAAGAUUCAGGAACAAGUCCGGCCACCAUUUUGGAGAAGUACAAAGAUCAUAGGAGUUUCCAGUAGAGCUCUUCCUGGGCAUGCAUUGGCUGCCAACGCCGCCAUUCCGUCCUUAUGCAGUUGUGGGAAAAGUGUCCCACCCCCAGCACUGAACCUGUGUCAGUGUCCUCCCCAAGAGCCUGUCACUUACCCGAGGUCCCACAGGAACCUGCUGUGUUGGUAACAGCAGAGGUGGGGCCUGCGGGGCCCCACAUAGACCGUUGCCUAUCUGGGACAAUGGAGCUGUGAAGCCACAGCUGAAGCAAAGCCAGGGCUGAGGAACCAGGGCCCUGACUUCCGAGAAACAGCCAUGCUAGAGUUGCAUUUGCCCCCCCCUUGUUCAUCAAGCACACGACUGAGGAUAUCUUGGGGACCUCAGUGCCCCAAGUGACUUGGGCUAUGAAAGGACAGGAUGUGCUUCCGAGCACUGGGACCAGUGUAACCACAGCUAUGAACAAUACAAUUGCAUGGAGAGAAGAUAGGGCACUGGUCCCAUGCCCAUACCCAACUCCCGCAGCACCCCGCACCACCCAGUGCCAGACCUGCCCUUUACCUCGCGGUGACUAUAUAUUUCUCCAAAUGCUGUCCCAUUUCUCCCAUCUCUGCCUUGUUUUCCAUGUUCAUUAAUAAAAUGUAGCUUUUUCACCUGG